UCUGGACCCAGCAGAAGACAGUGUGCUGUUGAUGGAAAAGGAUUACACCUGCUUUAAUACAUAAGGAACACACCUACUUCAACCUUCCCACCUAAAGCAAAGCAGUCUUUAGUUCCUGGUGUUUUCUUCAAUGUAAAUUCAAGAUACCUACAGAUUAGUCUUCCUACGUGCCGGUGCUGAGCAGUAAAGCACCUCAGCAGUCUCACUUUAGUGCCUGGUAAAAUUAUGGAGACUAAUCUGUGAGUUGUUGAAGAACACUUGGAAGACAAGGCAGACACUGGUCGCAGGCAGCACAGGUUUGUGAGGGAAAGUCCUACUCAACCAACUUAAUUUUUUUUUUUUAAUACAAGGUAGCCAGUCAUAAAAAUAAUCUUUGAUCAAAGGAAACCAGUUGAUACAAUCAUUUUGGAUUCCAGUAAAACCUUUGACAUUGUCUCUCACAGGAUCCUUCUGGACAAAAUGUCCAGCAAACAGCUGGAUAAAUACAUAUCUAUGAUUCCAUGACUCCCCAGCCAGUGUCAGGUUCCUGUGGGUUCCUGUCAGGAUCUGUGUUGCUCUGGAGAAAGGGCAUGAUGAAGAGAGGAGGGGUGGUGAGGCCUGUACCUCUCCCACUGAAAGCAGGCCAAAUAUGUGGAAAAUACAUCUAUGUUUCAGAAAGGAAGCAGUUGGGGAACUGACUGUGGCUGGGGAACUCAGCUCUCAGAAGGAAGUCCCAGUUGCUGGUGCUGAGACUAUUUUUGUCUUUUAACAGACAACUGUAAUGGAUCAAAUGGAAAAGCAGCCCUGACAGCUGGGUCUGAAACAUGCCUGCUGCACAUGCACCCUGCCAAAGGUCAUGCUCAAGGCCAGACCUGUGCUGGCACAGUUAGAAGCCUGUGGUGAUAGGAACUCAAGAGCAAGUGGUGUUUUGUGAAAACGUUUGUGCAGUUAGCCUACAUGCAGUCACAGUAAACUGAGAAGAGACUUCAUGUGAUGGAUAAAGCAAAUAAAAGACCAAAGAGCAGAAUAAGUAUCCUGCAAUCCAGAUCUCCCACUGCAAAUGAUUCAUUUCCCCUCUUGGCCUGGCUGUGUGCGCACGUGUCUGGUGGUGGUGAGCCAGAGCUGACCAGUGCCCUGGGACAAAGAAAGGAAAAGAAGGAAGGAGACAAAGCUGCAAACUUUUGA
rnacentral:lncRNA from 1 species